rnacentral:misc_RNA from 1 species
CCGAGUUUACAACUCCCAAACCCCUGUGAACAUACCACUUGUUGCCUCGGCGGAUCAGCCCGCUCCCGGUAAAACGGGACGGCCCGCCAGAGGACCCCUAAACUCUGUUUCUAUAUGUAACUUCUGAGUAAAACCUAUUUUAAAAUAAAUUAA